rnacentral:misc_RNA from 1 species
AAGAGACAGUUCAUAAGGAAGUAGAGAUAAUGCAACACUUAUCAGGGCACCCGGGUGUGGUGACAUUGCAUUCAGUGUAUGAGGAUGCGGAAAGUUUUCAUUUGGUAAUGGAGUUGUGUUCUGGUGGGAGGUUGAUUGACGAGAUGACGAAGGAGGGAAGAUAUUCGGAGCAGAAGUCUGCUAAUAUAUUUAAGGAUUUGAUGUUGGUGAUUCAAUAUUGCCAUGAUAUGGGAGUUGUACAUAGGGAUAUUAAGCCUG